rnacentral:rRNA from 1 species
UACGAAGGGGCUAGCGUUGCUUGGAAUCACUGGGCGUAAAGGGUGCGUAGGCGGGUCUUUAAGUCAGAGGUGAAAUCCUGGAGCUCAACUCCAGAACUGCCUUUGAUACUGAGGAUCUUGAGUUCGGGAGAGGUGAGUGGAACUGCGAGUGUAGAGGUGAAAUUCGUAGAUAUUCGCAAGAACACCAGUGGCGAAGGCGGCUCACUGGCCCGAUACUGACGCUGAGGCACGAAAGCGUGGGGAGCAAACAGG